rnacentral:rRNA from 1 species
GACAGAGGAUGCAAGCGUUAUCCGGAAUGAUUGGGCGUAAAGCGUCUGUAGGUGGCUUUUUAAGUCCGCCGUCAAAUCCCAGGGCUCAACCCUGGACAGGCGGUGGAAACUACCAAGCUGGAGUACGGUAGGGGCAGAGGGAAUUUCCGGUGGAGCGGUGAAAUGCGUAGAGUAUGGAAAGAACCACCAAGCGAGGACACUCUG